GUUUGACCUCAAAUCAGGUAGGAGUACCCGCUGAACUUAAGCAUAUCAAUAAGCGGGGA
rnacentral:rRNA from 1 species